rnacentral:rRNA from 1 species
UACGUAGGGACCAAGCGUUGUUCGGAUUUACUGGGCGUAAAGGGCGCGUAGGCGGCAUGACAAGUCACUUGUGAAAUCUCUGGGCUUAACCCAGAACGGCCAAGUGAUACUGUCACGCUAGAGUGCGGAAGGGGCAAUCGGAAUUCUUGGUGUAGCGGUGAAAUGCGUAGAUAUCAAGAGGAACACCUGAGGUGAAGACGGGUUGCUGGGCCGACACUGACGCUGAGUGCGCGAAAGCCAGGGGAGCAAACGGG